rnacentral:rRNA from 1 species
GGAUCAUUAACGAGUUUUUGAAACGGGGCUGUUGCUGGCCGGGGGGGAACCAUACUCCCUGGCAGGUGCACACCUUGACUCAAUCCACUCUUCAUACCUCUGUGCACCCUUUGUAGGUUUUCGAGGGUCUGAAGGGUCCUUGACCGGCCUGUUGGCUUGGUUGGGCCUGGAUAUGCCCUUGCCUAUGUUUCUUUGUAAACUCUUGCAAAAAGUCAUUAGAAUGUGCCUUGACGUGUGUGGCAGCGUGCAUAUGUAUGUGCAUGUCACACAUGUUGAAUAUGAUAUAAAAUAUAUAUAUACAACUUUCAGCAACGGAUCUCUUGGCUCUCGCAUCGAUGAAGAACGCAGCGAAAUGCGAUAAGUAAUGUGAAUUGCAGAAUUCAGUGAAUCAUCGAAUCUUUGAACGCACCUUGCACUCCUUGGUAUUCUGAGGAGUAUGCCUGUUUGAGUGUCGUGGAAUAUCUCACAUCGUGCCAGGUUUGACCAUGUUUUAAUACGUGUGUCUCCAGGAAUGCAUGUGGAAGUGGAGGCUUGUGCUGGAGAAUGAAGGGACCCCCCUUGUUUCUAAACAAAGGGUGUGGGGCCCUCUUUCAGCUCCUCUGAAAAUCAUUAGCACCAAUGUUAUCAUAGUGCUGCCGUCCUCAGUGUGAUAAUCAUGUCUGCGCUGUGGGGUGUGGUGCUGCUGUGUGUGUGCUUCUAAUGGUCCCCUCGUGGGACAAUAAACAAUUCCUGUUUGACAUUUGACCUCAAAUCAGGUAGGACU